UACGUAGGGUGCAAGCGUUAAUCGGAAUUACUGGGCGUAAAGCGUGCGCAGGCGGUUAUGUAAGACAGUUGUGAAAUCCCCGGGCUCAACCUGGGAAUGGCAUUUGGGACUGCAAGGCUGGAGUGCGGCAGAGGAGACUGGAAUUCCUGGUGUAGCAGUGAAAUGCGUAGAUAUCAGGAGGAACACCGAUGGCGAAGGCAGGUCUCUGGGCUGACACUGACGCUCAUGCACGAAAGCGUGGGGAGCAAACAGG
rnacentral:rRNA from 1 species